GACGAACGCUGGCGGCGUGCUUAACACAUGCAAGUCGAGCGGAAAGGCCACUUCGGUGGUACUCGAGCGGCGAACGGGUGAGUAACACGUGAGUAAUCUGCCCCUCACUUUGGGAUAGCCACCGGAAACGGUGAUUAAUACCGGAUAUUACCAUAUGUCGCAUGGCGUGUGGUGGAAAGUUUUUCGGUGAGGGAUGUGCUCGCGGCCUAUCAGCUUGAUGGUGAGGUAAUGGCUCACCAUGGCUUCGACGGGUAGCCGGCCUGAGAGGGUGACCGGUCACACUGGGACUGAGACACGGCCCAGACUCCUACGGGAGGCAGCAGUGGGGAAUAUUGGACAAUGGGCGGAAGCCUGAUCCAGCAACGCCGCGUGAGGGAUGACGGCCUUCGGGUUGUAAACCUCUUUCAGUACCGACGAAGCGCAAGUGACGGUAGGUACAGAAGAAGCACCGGCCAACUACGUG
rnacentral:rRNA from 1 species